GGGUAGAUGUAGUUUAAACUAGGAAUUUUGGCCAUCCUGAGUAACUCUACUUCUUUUUUUUUCUCAACGUUUGUAUUUGUGCAGUGAUAUCAAAGAAGUAUUUGGAAGACAUUUCAGGGGAAAGCAAAUGAAGUUGGUUGAGCUGUGGAGGCAGACUCAAGGAUGUGGAAGGCCAACUGCAUUCUGUUCACCGAGAUAGUGUCAUGGAGGCAGGAAGCAUUUUGUCAGAAAUGCAGAGGAGAAAAUGGAAAGUGGGAGCUAAAUACUUAAUCGUAUUGGUAACCACAGGACAGAAGCCAGAGCUGUAAAUGGCCGUGGGGACCGGCCUGAGUUAUUUAAAGCCACAGGAGGCAAAGAUAGCCCUCGGGCCUAUCCUGUGCUCUCGGUCACUUUUCUGGAAGCUGAAAUGGAAGCCUCACCAAGGAAUGGAAUGAUAAAAGGACACUCCUUUCCUGUGAAAUGUCAAGAGGUUUGGGGCAAGGGGACUCUAGCCUGCCCCUGCUCGUCCCUCUAUUGGAGAAGCCUCACUCUGGAAGGGUCUCGAGCUGGCCCCAUGUGCCCUCUGCUGGGCCGGUGUGGAAGAAGGUUCUAGGGGGAGAUGCGGCUCUUUGCCUCUCAUUUCUGCUAUGCAGGGUGCAAACAGCAUGGUCAUCACCCACUUAGUCCUAACUCCCGGCGACAGAGACACCGCUCCAGUGUCAGUCCAGGGGUUUUCUCGCUAGCCAUUGCCCUCCGGGAUCACACGGCCAGGCUUUUGGCUUUAAAUGUCACCCGAUGGUGUCUGGGGUCUGUUCCUACCAGACCACACCUCUCAACACCAGCAUUGUCUUGUACUGGCACCUGACCCUUCAGCCUGGCCUUUCUGCUCUCCUACCAUCCUUUCCUUGGACUUCUCCUAAAGCCUGCAAGCCAGUCCCCCCCACCCCAGCCCCUCGAUGUACCCCAAGCUUUCAGACCACUCAACCCAGCAGCCCGCGUGAACCUAUCAACCCCGAGCCAGAUCUUGAACACAAUCCCUACACUACACAUUCCAUUCCUCCAGCACUGACACAACCCUGGUGGUGGCCUGAAGAUCUUUGACCCUGAUGACCUGAAUCCUCCCAGCUCUAGCUGCUGGCCUUUCUCCGUGGGGCAGGCAUAUCCCGCCUCAGGGCUUUCGCGCUGUUUCCCUCAGAGUUACAGAUUCACUUACUGUGGAGUAAGAAAUAAAUACUUUGCUUGUUUACUGA